rnacentral:rRNA from 1 species
CACGUAGGCACCAAGCGUUGUCCGGAUUUAUUGGGCGUAAAGAGCUCGUAGGCGGUUCGGUAAGUCGGGUGUGAAAACUCUGGGCUCAACCCAGAGCCGCCACCUGAUACUGCUGUGACUAGAGUGCGGUAGGGGAGCGGGGAAUUCCUGGUGUAGCGGUGAAAUGCGCAGAUAUCAGGAGGAACACCGGUGGCGAAGGCGGCUACCUGGACAGAAACUGACGCUGAGGCGCGAAAGCUAGGGGAGCAAACAGG